UCUCAGUACCAGGAGGAGGCGUCCGAGGGCAAGUCCACCCUGACGGUUGACCACGUAGAUCUCACCUACCAAGGGGUCUAUAAGUGCAUCGUGCCGAGCAGGAGCCUCCAGCUGGCAAGCCUGCACAUCACGGUGUCUGCCGCCACCUUCGGCACCGACUCGGCCAUUGUCGUCGGGACAGCAGGCUCCCUCCUGGGACUGAUCGUCACGGCCUUUGCCUCACGGCGCCUGUGGAGGCGGCUCCACCCAUGUCAUACUCAGGAGUGCUGACCAGUCCGUUCUUGGGGGGAGAAGCGUCUCCCAUCUCGUCAGUGCUUGGGAGAAACAGAGCGAGAAACCCUCUUUUCCUCUUCGAAAUUCCUACCUGCAUUAUUAGUGACUGCCUGACACCUCUGCUAGGUACCGGAGUCGCCCCUUAGUCACCGGGCGCUGGUCAAUACUGAUUAUGACGACCGACGUGACUCCUUUCACUGGUGAGCUUGCUGGUCGUUAUGGAACACCUGGUACAGUAUUAGACCCAGCCAGGCCCCUGGGGCUGCACCUGUCCAAGGACGGAAGCAGAGGAUCUGGGAAAGCAGAGCUGAGCAGCCCCUCGGCUGAUCGCUCUCUUUCCUUUCCUCCACUUCGCUCCUUGACAGCCUGGUUUCCUCUCCAGCCUGGUGCUGGGACGUGGCACCUGAAGCAGGCGGCGGUGUCAGGGUACGGCAGAUUCCAAAGCAGACCGAUGGACUUUCCCCUCACGGUAUAUUUAAAACUUUCUUCAUUGAAGCUUCCAGCUCGUGAGAGGCUGGUGCGGUGUCCAGAGGGCUGGUCUGAAAUUCUGCCUCCUUCCUCCUUAUGCUGGCUUCUCAGUCGGACAGUCCCUGGGGUCAGUUGCUCCUGGUUUUGUUUCCAAUAUGCUGCAAGCUUCCGGGGGGGAGGAGGGAAUUCCAGGUGCACCAAGGACGGGCUGGGGAUGAGCAAGGGUCAGGGUUAGACCCCUUGGGUUGGGGCCCAAUAACCUGCAGAAAAAUCAGCCAAGGCCACACACGAGAGGCAAAAAAACCCAACCUGCACUGAGUGAGAGAAACCCUCACAGACGUGGCCUCGACAGUCACCUCACUACCCCCAAGCUCGUCUUGGGAGGCGGGAGGCACUGAGGCUCAGGGCCGGAUUCACUCCUCUGGGGGGCUGGGACUAGACCAGACUCUGGGGCCAGGCCAAACAUGAGGGGUUCAGUGUGCAGCAAUGGGCUGUCAGGGAGCAGCUGGAGGUGCAGGAGCAGGAUGAGGGGUCUGGGCAGAAGGCAGGGUGCAGGCGCAGGGUGGGGGUGUGCAGUCUGGGUGGGAGGAGAGGUGCAGGAUGGAGGCACCUAUCUGGUGCAGUUCCUGGGACAGGGAGCAGAUGACUUGUGCCCAUGGCUUGCCUUAAUUGGGUCUCCUAGGCUCCCCCAUGCCCCCACAGCAGGGAGCUGGUGCUCCAGCCAUGGCACCUCCCCACCAGCACCAGUGAGCGAGGGGUGACCUGGAACACGGCAAGCUGCAAGCCAUAGGCUCCCACCCCGCAGCUUAGACCCUUGGAACGGAGUGGAGGCUUCGCAAAUGCACAAGUUACAAACGCUCAGUGGAGCGCUGUGCUGCUCCCUACAGCCAUCUCCAGGCGCUGGAUCUGCUGCAGCUACAGCCUCUCCCUCCGAGACGGGAUUGCAGGCCUCCUGGAGAGGGCUGUGGGGUCGCUGUCUGGUUCCUUCCACGCCAGCCCCAUCUCAAAAACGGGAUGGAAACGGAAGUCGGUUAAUCUGUGUAUUUAAAACAAAUGUCCUAAGAAACCCCUCCCGCGGCUGCUGGUGAAUAAUCCGUAUUGAAGGCUGAGGCAGCAGGAGACCUGCUGUGCGUACGGCGUUUGUUGUACAGGGAGAAUGGCUACGUGAAUAAAGGGGCCGUUUUUACAUCC